CUCUAAUAUGUCUUGGGCUGCACGCGUACUACAAUGCGCUUGCCAACAGGUAAGCACUGUAGUACAUAAGUUUUAACUUAAUGAACACUCCCACGCUACUAAGGCGAAGGUAAUCCCACAAGCGAACGCUUGUCUGGGAUAGAGGGCUGUAAUGUCAACUCCAACGAGGAAUCCCCCGUAAUCGUGAGUCAUCAUCCCGCAGUGACUACGUCCCUGCCUUUUGUACACACCGCCCGUCGCUCCUACCGUUGAGUUUGAAGGUGAGCUUGCCAGAUGCAUGCCCUCGGGCGCGCUGACAUCAAACAAAUCUUUUUGCUCGUAGGAAGGAGAAGUCGUAACA
rnacentral:rRNA from 1 species